AUUGAACGCUGGCGGCAGGCCUAACACAUGCAAGUCGAGCGAGCGGCGGAAGGGUGAGUAAUGUAUGGGGAUCGGCCCGAUAGAGGGGGAUAAAUACUGGACACGGUUGCUAAUACCGCAUACAAUCAGAUGGGCCCAGAUGGGAUUGGCUAGUAGGUGGGGUAAGGGCUCACCUAGGUGACGAUCCUUAGCUGGUCUGAGAGGAUGACCAGCCACACUGGAACUGAGACACGGUCCAGACUCCUACGGGAGGCAGCAGUGGGGAAUAUUGCACAAUGGGCGCAAGCCUGAUGCAGCCAGGCCGCGUGAAUGAAGAAGGCCUUCGGGUUGUAAAGUACUUUCGGUAGCGAGGCGUUAACUACAGAAGAAGCACCGGCUAACUCCGUGCCAGCCGCCGCGGUAAUAC
rnacentral:rRNA from 1 species